rnacentral:rRNA from 1 species
GGAUUGUCCUUUGGACAAUGGUAGGAGAGCGUUCUAAGGGCGUUGAAGCAUGAUCGUAAGGACAUGUGGAGCGCUUAGAAGUGAGAAUGCCGGUGUGAGUAGCGAAAGACGGGUGAGAAUCCCGUCCGCCGAUUGACUAAGGUUUCCAGAGGAAGGCUCGUCCGCUCUGGGUUAGUCGGGUCCUAAGCUGAGGCCGACAGGCGUAGGCGAUGGAUAACAGGUUGAUAUUCCUGUACCACCUAUAAUCGUUUUAAUCGAUGGGGGGACGCAGUAGGAUAGGCGAAGCGUGCGAUUGGAUUGCACGUCUAAGCAGUAAGGCUGAGUAUUAGGCAAAUCCGGUACUCGUUAAGGCUGAGCUGUGAUGGGGAGAAGACAUUUUGUCUUCGAGUCGUUGAUUUCACACUGCCGAGAAAAGCCUCUAGAUAGAAAAUAGGUGCCCGUACCGCAAACCGACACAGGUAGUCAAGAUGAGAAUUCUAAGGUGAGCGAGCGAACUCUCGUUAAGGAACUCGGCAAAAUGACCCCGUAACUUCGGGAGAAGGGGUGCUCUUUAGGGUUAACGCCCAGAAGAGCCGCAGUGAAUAGGCCCAAGCGACUGUUUAUCAAAAACACAGGUCUCUGCUAAACCGUAAGGUGAUGUAUAGGGGCUGACGCCUGCCCGGUGCUGGAAGGUUAAGAGGAGUGGUUAGCUUCUGCGAAGCUACGAAUCGAAGCCCCAGUAAACGGCGGCCGUAACUAUAACGGUCCUAAGGUAGCGAAAUUCCUUGUCGGGUAAGUUCCGACCCGCACGAAAGGCGUAACGAUUUGGGCACUGUCUCAACGAGAGACUCGGUGAAAUCAUAGUACCUGUGAAGAUGCAGGUUACCCGCGACAGGACGGAAAGACCCCGUGGAGCUUUACUGUAGCCUGAUAUUGAAAUUCGGCACAGCUUGUACAGGAUAGGUAGGAGCCUUUGAAACGUGAGCGCUAGCUUACGUGGAGGCGCUGGUGGGAUACUACCCUAGCUGUGUUGGCUUUCUAACCCGCACCACUUAUCGUGGUGGGAGACAGUGUCAGGCGGGCAGUUUGACUGGGGCGGUCGCCUCCUAAAAGGUAACGGAGGCGCUCAAAGGUUCCCUCAGAAUGGUUGGAAAUCAUUCAUAGAGUGUAAAGGCAUAAGGGAGCUUGACUGCGAGACCUACAAGUCGAGCAGGGUCGAAAGACGGACUUAGUGAUCCGGUGGUUCCGCAUGGAAGGGCCAUCGCUCAACGGAUAAAAGCUACCCCGGGGAUAACAGGCUUAUCUCCCCCAAGAGUUCACAUCGACGGGGAGGUUUGGCACCUCGAUGUCGGCUCAUCGCAUCCUGGGGCUGUAGUCGGUCCCAAGGGUUGGGCUGUUCGCCCAUUAAAGCGGUACGCGAGCUGGGUUCAGAACGUCGUGAGACAGUUCGGUCCCUAUCCGUCGUGGGCGUAGGAAAUUUGAGAGGAGCUGUCCUUAGUACGAGAGGACCGGGAUGGACAUACCUCUGGUGUACCAGUUGUCGUGCCAACGGCAUAGCUGGGUAGCUAUGUGUGGACGGGAUAAGUGCUGAAAGCAUCUAAGCAUGAAGCCCCCCUCAAGAUGAGAUUUCCCAACUUCGGUUAUAAGAUCCCUCAAAGAUGAUGAGGUUAAUAGGUUCGAGGUGGAAGCAUGGUGACAUGUGGAGCUGACGAAUACUAAUCGAUCGAAGACUUAAUCAA